GAUGAACGCUGGCGGCGUGCCUAAUACAUGCAAGUCGAGCGGUAAGGCCACUUCGGUGGUACACGAGCGGCGGACGGCUGAGUAACACGUAGGAACGUACCCCAAACUGAGGGAUAAGCACCGGAAACGGUGUCUAAUACCGCAUGUGCUCUUCGGAGUAAAGCUACGGCGGUUUGGGAACGGCCUGCGCAUGAUUAGCUAGUUGGUGAGGUAAUGGCUCACCAAGGCGACGAUCAUUAGCUGGUCUGAGAGGAUGAUCAGCCAGACUGGGACUGAGAACGGCCCAGACUCCUACGGGAGGCAGCAGUAGGGAAUUUUCCACAAUGGGGGCAACCCUGAUGGAGCAACGCCGCGUGCAGGAUGAAGGCUUUCGGGUCGUAAACUGCUUUUAUCUGUGAAGAUUAUGACGGUAGCAGAUGAAUAAGGAUCGGCUAACUCCGUGCCAGCCGCCGCCGUAA
rnacentral:rRNA from 1 species